rnacentral:rRNA from 1 species
UAGGGAAUCUUCGGCAAUGGACGAAAGUCUGACCGAGCAACGCCGCGUGAGUGAAGAAGGUUUUCGGAUCGUAAAACUCUGUUGUUAGAGAAGAACAAGGACGUUAGUAACUGAACGUCCCCUGACGGUAUCUAACCAGAAAGCCACGGCUAACUACGUGCCAGCAGCCGCGGUAAUACGUAGGUGGCAAGCGUUGUCCGGAUUUAUUGGGCGUAAAGCGAGCGCAGGCGGUUUCUUAAGUCUGAUGUGAAAGCCCGCGGCUCAACCGGGGAGGGUCAUUGGAAACUGGGGGACUUGAGUGCAGAAGAGGAGAGUGGAAUUCCAUGUGUAGCGGUGAAAUGCGUAGAUAUAUGGAGAAACACCAGUGGCGAAGGCGGCUCUCUGAUCUGAAACUGACGCUGAGGCUCGAAAGCGUGGGGAGCAAACAGG